CGUACCAACACUUGGUGAAAUAAUGGAGGUGUGCGUUGACUCUGUUCUAUCGGCAAAAAAUGCAGAAAAAGGAGGUGCAAAACGUAUUGAGUUAUGUUCUAAUCUGUCAGAAGGAGGCACAACGCCAAGUAUUGGUUUGCUGAAAGUAAUCAAGUGCAAUGUUUCAUUACCUGUUUAUGUAAUGAUCAGACCAAGAGGGGGAGAUUUUCUAUACAGUGACGCAGAGUUUGAAGUAAUGAUCGAAGAUUGUAAAGAACUAAUCAAAGCAGGGGCUGAUGGCGUUGUUUUUGGUAUUCUCACAAAAAAAGGGGAAGUCGAUAUUCCUCGCUGUCAAACCUUAUUAGAUAUCAUCAAGCCGCUUUCCGCGACAUUUCAUCGAGCCUUUGAUAUGGUCUAUGAUCAGAGGUCUUCCUUAGAAGUGAUCAUAAACUUGGGUUUUGAUCGUAUCCUAACGAGUGGGGGCAAGUCUAGCGUACUUGAGGGAGCAUCUCGCCUAAAAAGUCUUGUUAUUCAGGCGGCAACACGGAUUAUCAUAAUGCCAGGUGGCGGUAUAAAUGAAGAUAAUUUAUUAGGGAUAUUGCAAGAGACUGGAGCGAGAGAGUUUCACGGCUCUGCUAGGACUAAUGUUCCUUCCAAAAUGGAGUACCAUAAUACUUCUGUUUCUAUGGGAGGCAUUGGAGACGAGUAUGGACUUCAAGUGGCUAAUCUUGACAGGAUAAAACACCUAACAUCUAAAGCGCAGACAUGUACUUCCAAUGAUUGAAAUGAAAAAACUACAGAACGAAAGUUUUUGAAGAACCCAAAACUUUUGACCUCGAAGAUGUUGUGACUUUGGGGGUGGAAUAUGAUAACAAGUAUAAGAAGUACAAAAUCCCCAUAAUUCUUUAUGAUCUCAGAUCUGAGAUCAAGGAUGUUCAAAGUGAAACAAAUGCGAAGGAUCCGUUCUACAAUGACAUCAUCUAGCUAAGUUCCAAAAACUUGUCAGAGAAGCAAAAAAGGAUGUUAAGAUCAAGUUUUCGAUCACAGGAACGUACUCGGGAGAAAAAGGGAGAAAUCCUGUGCUUGAAAGUCCUCAGCCUAAAAUACCUUGGCGACGUGGAGGAAACAUCCCCUGAAAAUGAUUGUGUGACAUUCUCGAAGAGUUGGCUGCUAAUCAUCGACUAAGAUCAUAGGAUCUGCGGCGAGUGAACUGCGUUAUUCGUGCUUUUGGUGAAUUACUUGUGAACAAUAUAUUCGUUGGGACUUUGUAAUAAAUACCUGGACAUCUUGUUUAUCAAUUUGGAAUUUUGCUCAAUUUAUUUUGGUAUUUGCUGGUGUUUGGCCGUUACUAGUACAUCAGUGCUCGUUUUUCCGUUAACCGCGUGCAACGUGAUUCGACUUUCAUUUGUUGAUUACGAGUCGGCGCGCGUUAAUUAGAAACACCUGGAAUAGGCUGCCAUUGAGAUCUUCGCUGGAACUAAUGUACGAAUUUCAGGUGACGGGCAUAAGUACCUUGGGGGAUAUCUUGGAUCGAUUGACGGAAAAGAUAAGUAUAUUAGUUGUUUAGUUAGUUAACGGUGCAAACAACAUCACGUUGUUAGUGAUAUUGCCAAAUUCCAACCCCAAGCAGCAUACACGGUGUUUGUCUCUGGUUUUCGGCACAGAUUUACUUACCACAUUCGUGCCGUUCUAGGUAUCAAGACCACGAUGCAGCUUGUUCACGACACAAUCAACUUGAAGCUUCUUCCUGCGCUCCUCGAUAACCGUAGCUUGUCCAUCCAUUAGCGACAAUUGGUUUCCCUUCCAGCUCGUAUGGGAGGUCUUGGUAUUCCGAUCUUUACGACAUCUGUGAUGAAGAGCAUUUGAACUCCACAACCAUCUGUCAUGUUCUCUCAAGUAGAAUCAUCGAUCAUGGUACACCAUCAGCAGAACAUGGAGAUUCCAUCCACGAUCUUCGUCGCGAGAUUGCAAAACAACUUCAAGCUAGGAACUCGUUGCUGCUACAGAACUAGGGAUCGAGCAUAGGUGAAGAGCAGAUUCGAGCAAAUGACCUCGCCCAGUUGAAAUGAUCCUCAGCUUGGCUGACAGCUCUGCCACUUGGUGAUGAGGGCUACAUCUUGACCAAGCGUGAGUUAUUUGAUGCAAUCUACAUGCGUUACCUGUGAAAAAUCGUUCAUGGUGGACCAUUCCCUGUCGUGCCUGAAAGGAGGCUUUAUCCAUCGAAGACAUAAAUUAUGAGAUUCGUGAUCCACUUGCUGCUGCUAUCGAUGAUGCUGCUUACGAUGUUUCAAUUGAACAUUCCCUUGCUCCUUUCACUGGCGAAGUUCAUCCAUCCAGUGCAAAUUCAGCCGAUGACGACAGAGUGGACAUUGGUUUCUGGCAGAGAUCUGGCAGAGGUUUCUGGCAGAGAUGUGAACAAACAUUUUUUGAUGUAAGGGUGCGUGUUCGUGGUGCGUGCUCGUGGCAGUCGAAAUUGGAGGACUGCGUCCUUCACAUCAACCAAUGACAUUACUUUGUCUGAAUGGAACUCGAACAUUAGUGAGUCUAGUUGAGCUGUUUUUAUAAAUAGUCUGUAGAACGUUUAUACCUUAGUUUUAA